AUACGGAGGGUGCAAGCGUUACUCGGAACCACUGGGCGUAAAGCGCGCGCAGGCGGUCUUUUAAGUUGGAUGUGAAAGCCUACAGCUCAACUGUAGAACUGCAUCCAAAACUAUUAGACUAGAGUCUGGGAGGGGAAGAUGGAAUUAGUUGUGUAGGGGUAAAAUCCGUAGAGAUAACUAGGAAUACCAAAAGCGAAGGCGAUCUUCUGGAACAGUACUGACGCUGAGGCGCGAAAGCGUGGGGAGCAAACAGGAUUAGAAACCCCGGUAGUCC
rnacentral:rRNA from 1 species